AGAUCAUGGAUGGCAUACCAGCUGAUUUUGGUGUGUUUAGCUUUAGCUUAUAGAUCUAGAAUCUUAGAUCUAGAAUCUAUCUUUUUUUCACGCGCUGUCUCACGAAGAUUUAAAAUAAUUAUUAGAUCUAGAACUUGUUGAUGCAAAUAAAGCAGCGUUUCUUUCAAUGUGUACAUCUUAUGGUGAAGAGUGGUUCAGGCAAGACCAGUAUGUGGUCCAUAAUACUUGCUAUUUGUAUUGCAAGGGACACAAGAAGAAUAGGUGCAACAAUUUCCUCCUCUGAUGAUUGGGUAAUUACAUUUGAAAGUAUCACAGAUCUCCAGUGGCUAGGAAGCAGAGCUCAGGGGCCUAUGUUUCUUGGCAAACUCUGUAAUGAAAAAGUUAGCUGUCAAGAAGGUCAGAGAUGUUAAAGAGACAGACAUUUGGAACUUAAGGAAACUGAAUCACCCCAACAUUAUAGCUUUCAAUGUUCUUGUGGCAUCCAAUGAUAUUGUCAGGAACCAGCCGAGAGUGGAAUGAAAAAAAAAAAGCACUAAAAUGUCAUUUGCUGGCACUGUGACCUGAAUGGCAUCAGAAGUCAUUUGAAAUAAAAUGUGCAGUGAAAUGAAAAAGUAGACAUUUGGAGUGCAAAGCUCAAAAAUAGACCAUCAUUUAGACAAAUUCUCAUGCACCUUGAGAUUGCCUCUGCUGAAUUACUUUGGUUCUGACGGGAGUUUUUUUCUGAAUCUCAAUGAAAUCCUUAACUGAAAGACACAGAUUCUGUCAUUAUCAUCAAGAUAGUCUAAGAAAGGAUCUGAGGUGAGAACAAUUACUGACUAUGUACAAUAAUAGUAGAAAGAGUAUAAUUCGUCCAAUCAUAAAAGUUCUAGAAAAGCUAGAUCGACUUGGUAAAAAAACUGACACAUAGGUCAGAGUCUGAAGUCACCAUCCCUGACUCUAUAAAAAACACAGAAGGGAGCAUGACAACCAGGUCUUAGCUGGUACCACCACCUCCUACGAAAAUGCGUGCCAGGAAGUCUCGUCAUCGUCGCAAUAACAGCAGAGGGUCUAUGAAAGACAUUACCUCUCGGCUCAAAUCUCAAUCUACAUAUGAAGCUUCACUGGACACCCAAACACCAGACAAACUAAACCCUGCAGGGCUUCAUACUACUGACCUAUUCUAAGACACUAAACUUUUUGGGACCUGCCACUGCAAUCAGGGAGUAUCGAAGUGAAGAUGAAGCUGAUGGACAAGAGACUAGGUUAACAACAUUAAAAAACGUCAAGUUCGUUGUAGCAAAAACUCAUCCACUUCUUCUGCUAGGCACUUGCCAAUCUCAAAACUUUUUCCUGUAAGUAAGUAAAAGCAGCACUCAUCCUAUCAAGACAAUAACAUUAAUGAUGUUUGCUUUGGCUGUAAUGGUGGCUGCAGUGAUGCUACUUGUAGCAGCAAAUGCUCAUCCCAGGUCAGUGCUGAUGUGGAGAACACAUGUGACCUAUGCCCAGCCCAAAACAGAACAUGGAAACUAUGAGUGAAAAAUCCUCUCCGGAUAUUGACCUCUCAUCCUGACCUGAAACAUUUAUUUCAAUGCUGACAUAACAAACAGAUGGUUUGGUUAUUGUUGUAUUUGAAAAACACAAAUGUCUACCAAAAUUGAGGCCCACUUUCUUCAAUUCUUUACAAAGGUAACCUGCAGCAUGUUAAAAGGAUGAAGUUUGUGAUAGGCUUCUUAAAAAGUUGGUUCCAAAAGAAAUUAAACUUAGUUAAUUCAUAAGUAUCAAUUUUAACCAGGUGUAAUAGUUUGUAUUUCAAAUGUCUUAUAAGUCCACUUGGGCAUUAUUUGUUUAUUGGGAGCUCUGUUUGAUUAGCCAGUGCCCUAGGAAUUUAAUCUCUUUCCUAAAAAUGAGCAUUUUAAAAAAUUUCUUUAAAACUGAAAGAUGACUCAUUUUCAAAAGCUAAUUGCAUUCAAGGUUUGGGUGGCAGAUUGGCUUAGCCAAUACACAAGGAACUACUGCAUGUUGGUAAUAAGCUAAUGCACAGGAAAAUAGUAUUUUAUUGACUAUUGCUAACAGCCAAUAUGAAAAGGAUUUUCAGCCAGUGCAUGUUUUCAAGAGGGGAAAUGAAAUCACAACAAAUUUCCGUUAGGAUCAAUAAAGCAGUCUUAGUCUUAGUCUUAAAAUUCCUCUUAAAUAAAUACACACAAUGAUUUUGUAUGCAGUUUUCUUUGCUUCUUUUCUCCUCAUUUUCAUCUUUGCUAAUGACACAUUUAUUUGUUUAAUAACAAUAUUUUAUCAAAUCUUUGAAAUAUAAAAAAUAAUUUAAAACUAACAUAUCACAUUUUUUAAAACUGUUUUGUUAUGUAUCUUAGAACAUGGUAACCACUAUUGGCAAUCCGAGAUAAUAAUAAAAAUAGAUGCUUAUUUUUUCAUGUCUUUUUUUUGCAUUCUUAAAAAGAAUGUAUGCAUCCAAAACAGUGUUACCCAACUUAGAGCCUGCAGGCCAUAACUGACCCAUGAUGCAGUGCAGUUUGGCUUUUGAAGCUUCUGCUCAUGGUGCAGAGACUAAUUUCAUUGGACUUGCCUUUUUUUGUGUGGCCCAUGACAUGUAUAAGAAAUUCAGCCUUCAGGCUGGAAAAGGUUGGGCAGCACUGACCUUAAUCAUCCCUUUUGAGUUUUGUCCACAUCAAUACAUGAUUUUAUUUCCUGUCCAAUUUUUCAUAGACCUAAAAAACUUUUUUUAAAUGUUGAUAGAACAGAAAGAAAAAAAAGUUUUCUUUUUCAGGGUGGGGUGCUCUGUAACCUUAAGUUUUUGGACUAGUAUUUAAAAAUAGUAUUCAUUCCUACAAAAAGAUAAGUUUAUUGAGACUUCAAAUUGUUUUGUUGCUUUAUAAGAUCAAUUUUAAAAAAUGUCAUCACCUCCAACUUGAAUUAUUCUCAAUAUUAUUGAAUAUGAAAAACAAGGUGUGAAUUAUUUUGUCAUAGAAACAUUUAUUACAACAUAAACUGAAAAAAAAAGUUAAAUAUUAUAUAAAUAUUGUAUAUUACAAUAGCUCAUGAUUUUUACUAACGAGUUUCACUUGGGUUUCUCUGUGGCUAAUUACUCUUAUUUCAUACAGUCUGUAUAUUUGUUUGUAUAGAUCUUUAUUUAUUUUAGCACAUAUCUUCUUUUCUCUAGAACUGUUCUUAAAGUUUACCAGUGACAUUUGUAUUAGAUGUCCAGAUGAUACUUGUUUUUAUUUGACCACAUAAAUUUGUCAUUAUUCCAUUCAUUAGACAAACUGCAAAAGUUUUGCUGGAUAAAACUUGCUUCAUCAAAACAUUGGUUUUGCUGGCUGGACUAUCACCUUGAUUCUACCUCUUAUUGAAAAGAGUUCAUCUUAGUUUAUGCUUUUGUUUAACUUCUGCACUCUCAAAUCUAAUAAACGUUAAUCAUAUAAAAGUAAUGAAACAUUUUUUUUUCUUAGCCAUGUCUACUACCAUUGUUAAAAUAGAUACAAUUGUGAGGGAGUUUUAAAAAUGUAAUUUGCUAGAUUACUAGCACAACCACUCAUUGAAAUUAAUUUUAGUGGAAAAGGGGGUGUUUUCUAUGUUGUUGUUUUUUUAUGCUUUAUUAUUUUUUUUUACAUUUAAACACCUUGUAUAUUGACAGAAGAACUCUUUUGUGUUCCACUGAUUCCUACAAUCAUUCUAGUGGCAGCCAUUUUAUUUCUUGUCAUUUGUAGAACUAUGAUUCAGUUGUUAUUGUUGUGAAUUAGUCCUCCCAAUGGUUAUUAUGUAUUUAUAUGGUUUAACAUUUUUUUAAAAUUAUUGUAAAGACAAUCUAAAUAAUGCCUAUCCUGUCAGGACUUUAUUUAUGAUUAGAUUUUUAAAUGUCUAGGUAAUUAAGUAAAAUUUUAAUUGCAAUAUGUGUGUGUAUUAAAGAAUAAUUGUUAUCUUUUGCUUGA